rnacentral:misc_RNA from 1 species
GAUGAAGAACGCAGCGAAAUGCGAUAAGUAAUGUGAAUUGCAGAAUUCAGUGAAUCAUCGAAUCUUUGUACGCACAUUGCGCCCCCUGGUAUUCCGGGGGGCAUGCCUGUCCGAGCGUCAUUACAACCCUCAAGCUCAGCUUGGUAUUGGGCCCCGCCGCUCCGGCGGGCCCUAAAGUCAGUGGCGGUGCCGUCCGGCUCCGAGCGUAGUAAUUCUUCUCGCUCUGGAGGUCCGGUCGUGUGCUCGCCAGCAACCCCCAAUUUUUUUCAGGUUGACCUCGGAUCAGGUAGGGAUACCCGCUGAACUUAAGCAUAUCAAUAAGCGGAGGA